rnacentral:rRNA from 1 species
UACGGGGGGGGCAAGCGUUGUUCGGAAUUACUGGGCGUAAAGGGCUCGUAGGUGGCCAACUAAGUCAGACGUGAAAUCCCUCGGCUUAACCGGGGAACUGCGUCUGAUACUGGAUGGCUUGAGUUUGGGAGAGGGAUGCGGAAUUCCAGGUGUAGCGGUGAAAUGCGUAGAUAUCUGGAGGAACACCGGUGGCGAAGGCGGCAUCCUGGUCCGUGACUGACGCUGAGGCGCGAAAGCGUGGGGAGCAAACAGG